rnacentral:rRNA from 1 species
GACGAACGCUGGCGGCGUGCUUAACACAUGCAAGUCGAACGGAAAGGCCCUGCUUUUGUGGGGUGCUCGAGUGGCGAACGGGUGAGUAACACGUGAGUAACCUGCCCUUGACUUUGGGAUAACUUCAGGAAACUGGGGCUAAUACCGGAUAGGAGCUCCUGCUGCAUGGUGGGGGUUGGAAAGUUUCGGCGGUUGGGGAUGGACUCGCGGCUUAUCAGCUUGUUGGUGGGGUAGUGGCUUACCAAGGCUUUGACGGGUAGCCGGCCUGAGAGGGUGACCGGGCACAUUGGGACUGAGAUACGGCCCAGACUCCUACGGGAGGCAGCAGUGGGGAAUAUUGCACAAUGGGCUGAAGCCUGAUGCAGCAACGCCGGGUGCGGGAUGACGGCCUUCGGGUUGUAAACCGCUUUCGCCUGUGACGAAGCGUGAGUGACGGUAAUGGGUAAAGAAGCACCGGCUAACUACGUG